rnacentral:rRNA from 1 species
AUGAACGCUAGCUACAGGCUUAACACAUGCAAGUCGAGGGGCAGCAUGGUCUUAGCUUGCUAAGGCCGAUGGCGACCGGCGCACGGGUGAGUAACACGUAUCCAACCUGCCGUCUACUCUUGGACAGCCUUCUGAAAGGAAGAUUAAUACAAGAUGGCAUCAUGAGUCCGCAUGUUCACAUGAUUAAAGGUAUUCCGGUAGACGAUGGGGAUGCGUUCCAUUAGAUAGUAGGCGGGGUAACGGCCCACCUAGUCUUCGAUGGAUAGGGGUUCUGAGAGGAAGGUCCCCCACAUUGGAACUGAGACACGGUCCAAACUCCUACGGGAGGCAGCAGUGAGGAAUAUUGGUCAAUGGGCGAGAGCCUGAACCAGCCAAGUAGCGUGAAGGAUGACUGCCCUAUGGGUUGUAAACUUCUUUUAUAAAGGAAUAAAGUCGGGUAUGGAUACCCGUUUGCAUGUACUUUAUGAAUAAGGAUCGGCUAACUCCGUGCCAGCAGCCGCGGUAAUACGGAGGAUCCGAGCGUUAUCCGGAUUUAUUGGGUUUAAAGGGAGCGUAGAUGGAUGUUUAAGUCAGUUGUGAAAGUUUGCGGCUCAACCGUAAAAUUGCAGUUGAUACUGGAUAUCUUGAGUGCAGUUGAGGCAGGCGGAAUUCGUGGUGUAGCGGUGAAAUGCUUAGAUAUCACGAAGAACUCCGAUUGCGAAGGCAGCCUGCUAAGCUGCAACUGACAUUGAGGCUCGAAAGUGUGGGUAUCAAACAGGAUUAGAUACCCUGGUAGUCCACACGGUAAACGAUGAAUACUCGCUGUUUGCGAUAUACUGCAAGCGGCCAAGCGAAAGCGUUAAGUAUUCCACCUGGGGAGUACGCCGGCAACGGUGAAACUCAAAGGAAUUGACGGGGACCCGCACAAGCGGUGGAGCAUGUGGUUUAAUUCGAAGCAACGCGAAGAACCUUACCAGGUCUUGACAUCCGAUGCAUAGUGCAGAGAUGCAUGAAGUCCUUCGGGACAUCGAGACAGGUGGUGCAUGGUUGUCGUCAGCUCGUGCCGUGAGGUGUCGGCUUAAGUGCCAUAACGAGCGCAACCCUUGUUGUCAGUUACUAACAGGUUCCGCUGAGGACUCUGACAAGACUGCCAUCGUAAGAUGUGAGGAAGGUGGGGAUGACGUCAAAUCAGCACGGCCCUUACGUCCGGGGCUACACACGUGUUACAAUGGGGGGUACAGAGGGCCGCUACCACGCGAGUGGAUGCCAAUCCCAAAAACCUCUCUCAGUUCGGACUGGAGUCUGCAACCCGACUCCACGAAGCUGGAUUCGCUAGUAAUCGCGCAUCAGCCACGGCGCGGUGAAUACGUUCCCGGGCCUUGUACACACCGCCCGUCAAGCCAUGGGAGCCGGGGGUACCUGAAGUGCGUAACCGCGAGGAGCGCCCUAGGGUAAAACUGGUGACUGGGGCU